rnacentral:rRNA from 1 species
UACGGAGGGUGCAAGCGUUAUCCGGAUUUACUGGGUUUAAAGGGUGCGUAGGCGGGUAGGUAAGUCAGUGGUGAAAUCUCCGAGCUUAACUCAGAAACUGCCUUUGAUACUAUUUAUCUUGAAUAUUGUGGAGGUAAGCGGAAUAUGUCAUGUAGCGGUGAAAUGCUUAGAUAUGACAUAGAACACCUAUUGCGAAGGCAGCUUACUACGCAUAUAUUGACGCUGAGGCACGAAAGCGUGGGGAUCAAACAGG